rnacentral:snRNA from 1 species
UAAAAUAAAAUAAAAUUGGAACGAUACAGAGAUUAGCAUAGCCUCUGCGCAAGGAUGACGUGCAAAUUUGUGAAGCAUCCGCCAUUUUG